AGUUAUAACUAAGUAGAUAUCUAAACUAGUCUAGUGACUAGUCUAUAGAAUAGAUCUAGUAAUAAUAAUAUCAUAGAAUCAUACUACACACUCAACAGUAGAGUUGUGGAUCUAGAAAUCUACAAUCUCUAUCAAGAUCUAUAUAUCAAACUAGGACGAUUAGAGUUACUGUCUUAUUAUGAAGAAAGCCAUGUUUCACAAGUUUACUAACUUUAUUCAGCAGGCUGUUGAAACAUUUGCUCCAAAUAUUUCUCCACAAGAAGAGUUUGUCUACCACUGGAAGUCAGUCACAAGCUAUUUUGUAGAUAAUAAAGAUGGUUGCGUGAGAAUUGAGGAAACAGCACUCCCAGAACAUCUAGACUCCAUGCUUCGAAUUUUACAAGAAGAAGAGUCGGAACUUGGUGAGGCUGGCACUACUGGGAUGUGUAUGGAAUAUCUGCUGCAACAUAGACUUCUGGAAACUCUUUACACACUUGGGCGUACUGAUCAUCCACCUGGUAUGAAGCAGUGUGUUCUAAGGUUUUUCACAAAGCUACUUUCUAGAAUUUCACAUCCAUUGCUUCCACAUAUAAAUGUGUACAGAGCUGUCCAGAGGUUAGUGAAGGCUUGUGGUGAGACAAAAGCUGGACCAGCAGAGAAAGAAGAAAUUGAAUUUCUUUGCACUGUUUGUGCCAAAAUUAAAACAGAUCCCUAUUUAGUCAACUUUUUUAUUGAGAGUCCAAGUAAAUCUGCAAAGACACCACAUCGGACUGUCCCAGCAUUCAGUUUACUUGAUGCUUUGCUUGCGUUAUCAACUAGCCAGGAUGCCAGAGUGUCAUUAAAAGCAUGUGAAGGAAUGAUGUUGUGUGCAAGUUUACCAGAACAGUCAGCUGCAUUGGCUCUGAUCAGUCAGACUAAAUUCUGCCAUUCCAUUGCCCAGACGUUGACUGAGCUGUAUAGAAAAUUACCAAUGCAAGUGAAUUUAGAUGACAUUGAGAUGAUAGAAGCCAAGUGGGGAUUUAAUGAUAUAAAUGACAGACAUGAUGAGAAAGCUUUUCCUGGCAAGAGACAAGUCAUUUCAUUUUUGUCCUGGCUAGACUACUGUGAUCAGCUUAUUGCUGUGGCCAAUCCUGAUGUAGGGGAAGCCUUAUCCAGAGAGAUUCACCAACAACUUUUGACAGGCUGUUUCUCUUCACAUCUGUUGCAGGCUUCAGAAUCUGGAAGCCUCAUGGCUACAGUUUACAUAACUCGAUGUCUGCGUACUGUAUGCUCCCCGGCACUAUUGAAAGAGUUUAGUUACUUCCUGCUUGGAUCAGACAGAGGCUUGGAGUCUAAAGAUAAUCCAGGACAUUUGAUUAACAAACGUCUUUUGGAAAGAUGUAAUCACUUGUCUGAUGAGCUGUGUCUUGUCACCUUAAAACUCUAUGACACACUUUUACAAAAAGAGGACGAGCACAUAUUUCACUGCCUUCUGUUGCGGACUCUGUUGGGAAGGAGUUAUUUGCAGUUACCUUCUCUCCCUUCUCAAGAUACAGUUUCUGAUUCAACACAGGAUGAAAACUUGGAGGAUAAAAAGAAUGCCAGUAAAGAGGAGGACAAGCCAGAUGAUCUCGUAGGUCAGACAACAAGCUCUGAUAAUGCUGAGAUUAUUGCGAACAAUGAAGACAGAGACUCUUCACAAGAUCAUUCUAGAAAUAUUGCCAAUAAUUUACCAUCAGAAGUCCAUAAAGUUGUCAACAGUUUUCUAACCUUGCUUCCUGAUGAAAUCAAAUCAACCAUUCAAACAGUUGAUUGUAGCUAUGACAUGUAUCUCCGAGAUGCUAGCAAACAGUUUGCCAUUCAAGAAAGAGUGUGUAAAAGCUGGGGCUGGCCCAAACAGCCAAUCUCAGAGUUGAGUUUCUCUAUGGAAAAGUUUCACCAAGGUCCAUUCUUGCAAAUGUUGUUUGACAAACUUCUCCAUAUGUUGGAUCAGAGUUACUCCGUCAACUUGUUGCUCACGUCAUUGAUCUCUAAAGUGGCUCUAGUGCCUCAUCCAAACUUACAUGAAUAUCUGCUGGAUCCUUUUCUCCCAGUUGCAGAAGGGACGCAUACACUUUAUUCUGUCUUGAUCAAAGUAACCAAUGAAAUCAAGCAUCACCAGAAAACUGACUCAACUUUUCCACAAAAAUUAAUUCUGGCCAGGAAACAGCUGUUUGGAUUAGUUCCCAAUAUUCACAGUCUCAGGCUAGCAAAGUGUCAAACUGAAGUACCUUGUGAUGGAGGCGGGUAAGUGCGUGAAGUCAUGUCAAGCAUGAGUCUGCUGAUACAUUGCCAGAGUCUGAGAGUGAUGUUAAUGAGCAUGGGACAAAGUGAUAUAAUUGCAUUUAAUUCAUUUUACUAUAGGGUUCGAAGACCAAAGCAGAAUGGAAGCCAUUAUUGUUCUAGAGGAGUUUUGCAAGGAACUCUCAGCCAUAACAUUUGUGAAACAUCAUGCUGCUGUUACAAAGUCUUAACUAGAGCUCCUUUUUAGACUGUUAGCAUAAGUAUUUUCUCUCAUGGACACUUAAUUUAUAUUUAACCAGAAUCUUUGUCUUUAUAACAUACCUGUGAUGUCCUUUGCUUCAUUUCAGUGGUUCUCAAUCUGGCAACUCAUUACUCAUAUUUUAUUGUUAGAGGGUAAUAAAAAAAAAUAUUUGGUUUUGUAUACAUUUGUUUUAAAAAGAUCUUCCAUAUUGAUGAAAUAAUUUUAAAAUAAGAUGUUCAAUUUCAUACAAAACAUUUUAAUAUUUUUAUAGGGACAUAAACAAAUACUAUUUUGUUUAAGAUGAAUACUAACAUAUCUAGAUUUCUGCCUGGUUUUGUGUUAAGCACUUAAUACUCAUGAUGAUAGUUCUUAGUUUAAACCCUACUUAUCAUCAUCUCCUUCUAUUGUGCAGAACACCGGGCUAGGGUGUCAUUAUCUUCAUUUAUGAUGAAUGUUUGAAACUUAAAACUCUGUUUCUGAUCCCAUAGACCAUAAACCCAUAAAACGAAACAUCAGUUAUAUCACAAGGGACAAAAAAUAACAAUCACUUUGUUUAGAGAUGUUAUAGUUUAGAAAAAUGAAAGAAAUAAUAGAAAUAAUGGGUAAACUAUUUAAACAUAACUACAAAUGUAUAGACAAGGAAAAAUAUUUCUUUUUCCACACACUUUACAGAUUGCCCGAACAGGAAAACCUUUGACCUAGUAUAGUUUGAAUCUCUCAUUAGCAUGAGCAAGUAGAGUAACGCAUGUUUUUGAAACAAUUUUUGUUAUGUAUAAUUACGAUAAAAAGAGAAGGUCUUCAACUUUUGUCUAAUAAUUAAUAAAUUACAUUUCAUUCUGUUUAUUAUCAUGUAUUCAGUUAUUGUAUACAAUUUUGCCAUAUUUGUUUUUGUUUCAGUGUAGUGUAUUAGUUUUGUUUUGAUAUGUUGAGUAUACACAUUGCUUCAGAUGUUUCAAGUUUACACAUUGCUACAACUGUUUUUAAAUGUACUCAUUGCUCCAUCUGCUUUGAGUGUACACAUCAUUACAGCUAUGUUUAGAUAGUGAAGCAAAAAAAAUUUUGAUUAAAAUUAUUUUUUUUAGCUUCAAAAAACGCAAUAGAUCUAAAUUAAUCAUCUCAAAACAUUUAGCUUGUUUUCUAUUUGAUUAGGUCACUGCAACAAAAAUGUUUGUUAUUUUCUUGGUUGAUUGUUUUUUUUACUUGUAAACAUUUUUGUUUUGAAACCUUCAUUAGUAUUAUUUGUCUGUACUCUUUUAAUGUUUGUGCCAAGUAAAGUGGGCAAUGACAUUCUGAAUUCAAAUGAAAUGUUAAAAAUUGUAAUGCAAUUAAUUAUAAGCACAUUAAGUUUAAUAUAUCUCUAUUACAUAUUGUUGGAGUUAAGAUACAAUCCUACUGCAUUAAAAAAAAAGCACUUUUUUUUCUACUGCUACAGAUGAAUUUAAAAAAAGCUUGCUUAAGAGUUGCUUCAUUUUUAAAGCAUACUGAUGCAUUUAAUUUAUAAUAUAAACUCCCUCUUUUUUCAAGUUCAUUUUUUAUGAUUAGCUCAAGAGACUCCUCUGUUAUUGUGUCUAGUUGUACUGAACUACUUGCGCCUAUUUUGGUUCUGUAUUUGGAUUCAGCUACACGUUGCUGUUGCUAAAAUUGUCUUUUGAUGAGGAGAAUGUCUUUUCUUUUUUUUACUUUUUAUUUGAUAUAAAUGUAUAUAAACCACUCAUUUUUUUUUUGGUCUCUCUGUUGUUGCUAAUUUUGAGCCGACAACAAUCUGUACAUAUUUCACAUCUAGAACAUGUUCUUCUGCUUUCUAGUCAUGGAGACUUCCUUUAAUACCUCUUUACACAUUAAUCUCAUCCUAACAUUUACCUUGCAACUUGUCUUCCUGGCUAUACAAUAGUUGCAACUUUUAUCUUGUUCUUGUUGCUACAUUCAGUAUUAAUUUUUUUUUUGCAAUAAGGAAUGUAUUUGUGUAUAAUUAACACUGUUAUUUUGUUUUUUGUCAGUAUGUGCACACCAGUUUUGAUAAGCAUUUAUGAAUUAUCAAACUAAAGCCAUAUUAUUUUGAAAGUUCACUUACAAGAUAUUAUUUUUAUCAAAUGAAAAAGCAAAUAUUUAAAUCAAAUACUUUUUAAGAUUUUACAAACAUUUUUGUGAUCAUUAACAUAAUUUUUUAUCCUAAAUGUUCGUAUAUUAAUGUUUGAUAAUCUUGGUUAAGCAAUUCACAUUUCAUUGCACAUUCUAUACCUGUGUUACUGGACACUUGUUUUCUUCAAGAUAUUUAAUAUUUUAGUAAAAAAUAAUCUGUUUAAGAGGUAGAACUUACUUCUCCUGAUUUUGUAUGUUUGGUUAAAUAAAAGGUUCUUUUUUAUGCUAACUAGUAUAGCAGAGAGAUUUUGUAAAAUGGUUAAAUUAUCUUAUAUGUUGAAUCUGUCUCAGUCUUCCUUUUUAUAUGUGAUAAAUUAUUUUUUUUUGUGUAUAGUUUAAUUCAUCAUUUAAAUAUGUUUCUUCAGUUUUGACAUCAGAUGGUCUAUACUGGAAAUGUAUUAUUUUAUGGUUUUGGCAAUGGUCAUUUUGAAGAAACUUAUUGUUUUUGAUAAGGGCAAUAAGCUAUAAUUUUCUAAUAAUGCAAUUUUAGGAUAUAAUUAUUUAUCCAGAAAUAUUUAAAAGUUAGUUUUAAGUUGUUUGGACUGGAAUUUUUCUGCUUAAGUUAAAUGUCUAUUACUGCAACAACCCAGCAUAAUCAACAGUCUGUAUGACAAGGUGGACUAGCUGAGAAAAACAUCACCCUACUUUUCCUUGGCACAAAAGAGCUACAGCUCUGCAGCUCUAAGCUGGUUGCAGGAGGAAGAAGAAAGAAGUGUAGGGAAGCAUUAGCUACAAACUAAUUCUGGAUUGAAAUUUAGUUUACCAAAAGUUUUUUGUUGUCUGAUUUUGUCAUUGUUUAUCUUUUGUGCAAUCAACUAAGCUUAGUUGACCUUCAAAUUCUAGCACUGGAGACCAUUAAUACCUUCAAGCCCAGUGCUAUUUUUGCAUAUACUGAUGGGUCGGCAUUGAUAGAUUCUGGAAGAGCAGGCUAUGGAACCUACAUCGACUUUCUUGGCUCUUACUCAGUAAAAAUCUUUGGACCAUGUGGUAGUGUUUGCAGUUUUGAUGCGGAGACCAUGGCAGUCUGUGAAGCCUUAAAGGUCAUUGACUCUCAACUCGGCAAGGGACAUUUGAGGGCAACACAGAUUGUUGUGGUCACUGACUCAAAAUCUGUACUACAGGCUUUGCAAGUUUGUUUUCUUGCUUUAAGUUAAAUGUUUAUUGGAGCUAUGUUUUUUAAAUUAUCCAGAACAUUGUAUGUUAUUGCCAAUCUGAUUUGUGAUUUUGCUUUUGUGUAAAGUCAUUACCUUUCAAUUUAAAUAUUUAAAAAAAAAACAAUAAAGGUAAAGGAUAAUUUUACUAUUGGGGCAUGUGGGCUAAGUGGUAAAGCACUUAACUUCAAAAUCAAGGAGUCUCUGGUUCAAAUCUCAUAGGAGACAGGGAUUUUGAAUUUUUGGGAUUUUUAGGACACCCUUCUGAGUCCACCCAACUCUGAUAGGUAUGAAACAUAGUACAUUAGUUUGGUAAGUUAAAGGUGGUUGGUUGAUGUGCUGGCAACAUUUCACCUUAGUCAGCUGUCAACCAUAGAAAUAGAUGACUUUAACAUCAUCUGCCCUACAGAUUGCUAGGUCUGAAAGGUACCCAUUUUGCUGUUGUUUUUUUUACAUACUAUGACUAUGAUCACAAAUGCUUCGGUAUUGAAAAAUGUUAAUUAAGUAUUUGUGGAUAUGAAAAGAUCACACAAUUCUCAGAUGGUUCAGUUGAGAUCAUUUGGCAACAUUUUCGACUUAAUCAAAUAUUAGUAUCUGGCAGACUUCUUUCACUAGCCAGUGCACAUUGGUUGACAUGGACAAUAAAUCAUUAUACAAAUAUUUUC